rnacentral:rRNA from 1 species
AUUGAACGCUGGCGGCAGGCCUAACACAUGCAAGUCGAGCGAGCGGCGGACGGGUGAGUAAUGUCUGGGAAACUGCCUGAUGGAGGGGGAUAACUACUGGAAACGGUAGCUAAUACCGCAUACCAUCAGAUGUGCCCAGAUGGGAUUAGCUAGUAGGUGGGGUAACGGCUCACCUUGGCGACGAUCCCUAGCUGGUCUGAGAGGUUGACCAGCCACAGUGGAACUGAGACACGGUCCAGACUCCUACGGGAGGCAGCGUGGGGGAAUAUUGCACAAUGGACGCAAGCCUGAUACAGCCAUGCCGCGUGUGUGAAGAAGGCCUUCGGAUUGUAAAGCACUGUCAGCGGGGAGUCGUUACCCGCAGAAGAAGCACCGGGUAACGCCGUGCCAGCCGCCGCGGUAAUUC